GGAUCUCAUCAUGGUAAAUUCCAAUCAAACUAUUAAAUAAAUAAUUACGACUAAUCGUAAGAGGAACUAUUCUAUAUGUAAUCUUCAGAAUAGAGCUCUGAUACCACUCUAAUGAAAGCAAAAAUCCCGAGAAAACGUAUCUAGAAGAGCUUGAAGAUUUUAAGUUACCUGUAGGGAUAAUUAGGUAAAACCUUAUAUACACAAUUAUCAGAUCGAUCUUUGAAGGACACGAUGGAACUUUCCUCCUUGACUUCAGUUUAGGAAUAUUUUCAUCCGGGAUUGGAACGACCUAUGUUGUAACGGAGGAGAGAAGGUGAACCAGCUUCCUUUGGUCGCCUCUCCCUGACUUCAGUUUAGGAAUAUUUUCAUCCGGGAUUGGAACGACCUAUGUUGUAACGGAGGAGAGAAGGUGAACCAGCUUCCUCUGGUCGCCUCUCCCGUCUGGUUGAGUAGCUUUAACUCCUUCCUA
rnacentral:lncRNA from 1 species